UGGAUCAAGAAAUGUGAGUUUAAAAUCCUGC
rnacentral:piRNA from 1 species